UAACAUUACUCUUUGUAAUAUGUACACAUAUAAUGUGCACUUUUAGUCAUUGACUGGAUGUUUUGCAUAGUUAACAUGUUACGUAUUGCCAUUUGGAUUCAACAUUUACAUUAUGCUUUCUAAAUUACACACUGAAAGGUGAGACACAUCUCUGUGUCCACAGUUUUUAUUGUUGAAAUGUGUUACCUCAUAUUUAUCCAUGGUGAAACUUUUAUUUUAAAUCGAUGACUGGUGGCUUAAAGUCUGUAUCUGUAUUAUACUGGAAAUGAACUUAAAUGUGGCUGAGUAAAACUUAGUCGAUCUAUGCAGGAAUUAACAAAAUUGCACAUGAACAGAGUGUGUUUGUCCAGUAUGUCAUCCCACGGGGGUCAACUUCCUAUUAUUGGGUAUACGGGGAUGUGCCAAAAAUAUGGGUCAUAAUUUUGCGAGAUUUUAUAUAAAAAUGACCCUCCUUUUUAAUGACAUCCUAUAUUAAAAUGCAUUUACGUUUGAUUACUAUAUAUUGAUUCGGGG
rnacentral:lncRNA from 1 species